rfam:Dipodomys ordii contig_34855, whole genome shotgun sequence.
GGGACUGUGGCUUAGUGAUAGAGUGCUUGCCUAGCAUGCAUGAAGCCCUGGGUUUGAUUCUUCAGUCCCA